UCCAUUUCCUCAUCGUUCUCCUCUCCUUUCCCUUUCCCUUCUCCUUCCCCCGUCCUUUCUCCCUUUCACCCCUUUUUCCCCGCUCCCCCUGCACCCCGACACCCACCUCCCGGAGCCGGCAGCUGCCCCGGGACCGCUUCAGCCCUGCCCGGCCCCGCUGGGCGGCAGUGGAGGGGUCUCACCGGGGGGCUCCGGCCGCGGGGCUCCGACCCCUGCCCGCCGCCGGAGCCGCUGCGCGGAGCCCGUCCAGGCUCGGGCGCUGCCCUCGCACCUCGCCGGCACCGGGGCGCUCCGGGGGGGCGGCCCCGUGCCCCCCAUCCCGACGAGGGUACCCCUCCCGCCCCGCCGCGACCCCCGCCUCGCCCUCACCUCCGAGCUGGUCUCGUCGGACCCGAGAUGGACAUCAACGCCGGGGAGCCGAGCGGCCGGACGGGCGAUGCAUGGGGGGCCAGACCCAAACACACGCUGGCCCCCCGCACCGGACCCCGCGGAGCCUCCAAAUAUCUCCCGGCUGAAGUCACCGGCCCGACAUACCGUGCGCUGCGCGCCCGGCGGCGCAGCCCCGCGGACACCCGCUUGGCCCCGCGGCGGCCGUGCCGGGCCGUGCCGGGCCGGGGUAACCCAACACCGAGCCUCGGCGGCUGCAGGGGCUCCGGCACGGCCCGGCACGGCCCCCCCCCGGCCCCGCCGCCGCCCCCUCCUCGCCCCCCGCCGGCCGCAGGUGCCCCGGGUGCGCUGCGCGGCCCCUGCGCGGGGGGCGGCGGCGGGGGGACGCGCGGGAGGCCGCGGCGAAAAGUGGCCGUAAACAGUCUCGGCUUACAGCCCCGCGCCCUGUAUUUAUGACUCACCCAGUUGUCCGGAGGUAUGAGGUCCUCAUGUCGCCGGUGCUAUGAAAUUAACGCGGCGGGCGGCUGGGGAGAGCGCAGGGAUUGUGCGCCGGCCAAUAAAGCGCUCCGUCUGCACCGCGCUUCUUCCUUUUUUCUUUAUGA